CCUACGGGAGGCUGCAGUGGGGAAUUUUGGACAAUGGGCGCAAGCCUGAUCCAGCUAUUCCGCGUGUGGGAAGACGGCCUUCGGGUUGUAAACCACUUUUGUAGAGAACGAAAAGUCGGUUGAUAAUACCUAUAGAUGAUGACGGUACUCUAAGAAUAAGCACCGGCUAACUACGUGCCAGCAGCCGCGGUAAUACGGAGGGUGCGAGCGUUAAUCGGAAUUACUGGGCGUAAAGGGUAUGCAGGCGGUUUUGCAAGAUGUAUGUGAAAGUCCCGGGCUUAACCUGGGAAAGGCAUACGAGACUGCAAGACUAGAGUGAGUGAGAGGGGGGUGGAAUUCCAGGUGUAGCAGUGAAAUGCGUAGAUAUUUGGAAGAACACCGAUGGCGAAGGCAGCAGACUGGGACGCAACUGACGCUGAUACACGAAAGCGUGGGGAGCAAACAGGAUUAGAUACCCUGGUAAUC
rnacentral:rRNA from 1 species